CCAGUUGUGCUAAGCAACCCUGAUUGUCAGGUCUGAUAUCGCAAUAAAAGAAUAAAGAAGUAAAACCGAUACAUAAGAUGCGUGCAUCUGUGUAUAUGUAUAACGGUGCGGCAUAGAAACCGCCGCCAAACGUAAAA